GACGAACGCUGGCGGCGUGCCUAAUACAUGCAAGUCGAGCGGACAGAUGGGAGCUUGCUCCCUGAUGUUAGCGGCGGACGGGUGAGUAACACGUGGGUAACCUGCCUGUAAGACUGGGAUAACUCGGGAAACGGGCUAAUACCGGAUGCUUGUUUGAACCGCAUGGUUCAAACAUAAAAGGUGGCUUCGGCUACCACUUACAGAUGGACCCGCGGCGCAUUAGCUAGUUGGUGAGGUAAUGGCUCACCAAGGCGACGAUGCGUAGCCGACCUGAGAGGUGAUCGGGCCACACUGGGACCGAGACACGGGCCCAGACUCCUACGGGAGGCAGCAGUAGGGAAUCUUCCGCAAUGGACGAAAGUCUGACGGAGCAACGCCGCGUGAGUGAUGAAGGUUUUCGGAUCGUAAAGCUCUGUUGUUAGGGAGAACAAGUACCGUUCGAAUAGGGCGGUACCUUGACGGUACCUAACC
rnacentral:rRNA from 1 species